rnacentral:rRNA from 1 species
AGAAUCAACGCUGGCGGCGUGCCUAACACAUGCAAGUCGCACGAGAAAGGGUAGCAAUACCUGAGUACAGUGGCGCACGGGUGAGUAACACGUGAAUGAUCUACCUCCGAGUGGGGAAUAACUGAGAGAAAUCUUAGCUAAUACCGCAUAAUACCCACGGGUCAAAGCAGCAAUGCGCUUGGAGAGGAGUUCGCGGCCGAUUAGUUAGUUGGCGGGGUAAUGGCCCACCAAGACGAUGAUCGGUA